AAUCGGAAUUACUGGGCGUAAAGCGUGCGCAGGCGGUUAUAUAAGACAGUUGCGAAAUCCCCGGGCUUAACCUGGGAAUGGCGCUUGUGACUGCACGACUGGAGUGCGGCAGAGGGGGAUGGAAUUCCGCGUGUAGCAGUGAAAUGCGUAGAUAUGCGGAGGAACACCGAUGGCGAAGGCAGUCCCCUGGGCCUGCACUGACGCUCAUGCACGAAAGCGUGGGGAGCAAACAGGAUUAGAUACCCUGGUAGUCAAGGGCG
rnacentral:rRNA from 1 species